rnacentral:lncRNA from 1 species
GGCAGAGAUGAUUAAAUAGCCAUAUCCUGUGAAGUUAAAAACAUCUUUCAUAUAUUUAGAUUAUUUUUCUCUGAAUGAUAUAUUGGAAAACAUUUUCAAGAACCGUUGAGAUUAAAAUAAAACAUCCUUCACAUAUCCGGAUGUUUUCUUAGAAAGAGUAAAGGACCACAGAUAUAAAAUGCCUUGGACGAAACGCGAAUUCUGCAAGUGCGUUUAAGUUUGGUGAAUACCUGUGUACAGUGAACUUCUAGUCAUGUCUGAUAUCAGUGUAGAUAUAACGAAAUGCUGCAUUAUGGACUGUGAGGGGUUCAACCUGUCGAUCUCGUUUCUAUACAGAGACAUGAGCAUUGUAUGGAUAGAAACAUUAUUUGCAUUAUAAUUUUUAUAUGAAGAAAUAUAAAUUUUGCAAUUUAUCACCAACGGAACAGAAGCACAUCAAGUUUUGCAACAAACUUCAUGGGUUAAAAAUGGAGUAUACCCCCGACCAAACACAUAUGGAAACUUUUGGUUUGAAGAUGUUGUAUGCAAUGCUGCAGAGCAGUUUAGUAUCUAUCACCUGCUUUAAAGGAGGAACCAUAGAAAAUAUCUGCUAAUUUCCGCAGGGCUUCCAUAUAUCGACCUGGAAAAAUAUGAAUGCCCUCGGGCUAAUCAGAUUCGGUCCUGUUGUCCGAAUCACAAUUCUUUCAAGGAUCACUGCAGUUUAUGUGACGUUUAUUCGUACAGAGAUUUUAUUGUUAAUACCAUUUUGUAAAAUAAAAAAAAUAAUAUAAGCUUACUUGACUUUUGUUGCAUAUUGUUUAAUUAGUAAAUUUUUAUUAUCGGCAAUACAGGACACAAUUCUCGGUAUAUUAAUAACUAUCUUAAUGGUAUAAUAAUAUUGAUCUUUGAAAUUUUCUUAUAAUUAAUAAAUACGUAGGAUUCAAAUAUUACUCUUUCUGUGUUUUUUAUUGUAGCAUAUGCUUAAAAAGUAAAUGGGGUAAGGAAAUUUAUAUUUCGUUGGUUGAAAAAUUUUUUCAAAGGCAGAGUUGAAACAUAUUAAAGGUAUAUUUAAUCAAGAGAGUUGUUUCUAAUUUAUAUAUUUUUCAUUGUUAGCUAAGGAAGAAUAUAUUUUAAUUUCUCCACUAUUUUUCAAAGAUAAGAAUACAGUAGAAUCCCAAAAAUCCGGCAGUCCGGAUAACUCGGACACACCCUGGUAGGGCGAAAAACCCCGCGAGCAGACCCAUUCAACGUCAUUGCUUGCGUGGUGUUGCCCUCUUACCGCAUUCUUUUUCUGGCGUCACACCACUCUUCCACCACGUCUGCCUCCGGCGCGCGCUCAGCUCAGGUUGCCAGAUUGGGCGAUUUUUAAAGUGCCUUCGCUACAAAAAUUUCAAACUGGGCGACACGCUACUUUUUGGG